CAGCAUCCUCCUCGUGGAUCAGUUCAGCCGCAGCAUCCGACUCACACGCGUGUUCUUCUGUCCGCCUCGAACUUGCACCUCAUCACUUCGUCCGAAGGGAGCGCACAAUCGGACUCGUUGUUUCUUCGAGAAUCCGCAAGACCGGUUUGUUUGGAUUGUCCGGGCUGCGGGCUGGAGCCGGUCGUUCUGGAAGGCACAACGAAUUCUCUUGUUGUUGCUGUCAGCGGCAACGCUUAACACCGGCAACAGCAAGUUCCAAGUCUAGCUUGGAAACCAAUGCCGGCCGUGGUGUGUCCGCAGUAUCCGCAUGGCAUCGGCAAUAAUUAAGAGCGGGGAAAAUAUACGACUUUAAGAACAUAAAGCCGAAUUAAUGAAACCGAAAAUAAUGUCAAACGAUGACAUAAACUUCCGAAACAUAUGAAAGGCAGCUGUUGCGGUUUCCACUGACUGGUGUUGAUGGCGGUUGUCGCUGUUUUUCGAUGGAGCUAGUAAUAUGCACCGUAUGUAUUGGAGAGAUGAUCUCAUUAAAAUCGAACAUGUGAAUCGGAUGCUUCACGCUGAACUCACAUAAAUCAAUGUCCGCACAGCUACCAAUUUGUUAAAAUCGUGCAUUCAUAAGCAAGGCUGGAUAAAGUGAGAAAAAACAUCCAAGAAACAUAUCAAACAACGAUUCUAAAAAUAUCGCAAAAUGCAACCUGCCCCAGCAGGCAUUGAUCCCGAACAAAGUAGGCUUGCCUGACAGGUCUUGUCCUGCUGAACGCUGCUCGGGUGUUGCUGUGCGUUCGCAACGUUGGUCGAAUGAUUAAACACACAAAUAUGCAGUAGGCUGAACCAAAUAUAUGAAAUCGGACCCUCGAAAUUAAUCAUAU